rnacentral:rRNA from 1 species
GAUGAACGCUGGCGGCGUGCCUAAUACAUGCCAGUCGAGCGAACAGACGAGGAGCUUGCUCCUCUGACGUUAGCGGCGGACGGGUGAGUAACACGUGGAUAACCUACCUAUAAGACUGGGAUAACUUCGGGAAACCGGAGCUAAUACCGGAUAAUAUAUUGAACCGCAUGGUUCAAUAGUGAAAGACGGUUUUGCUGUCACUUAUAGAUGGAUCCGCGCCGCAUUAGCUAGUUGGUAAGGUAACGGCUUACCAAGGCAACGAUGCGUAGCCGACCUGAGAGGGGUGUCCGCCACCCUGGAAAUGAGAACACGUCCAGACUCCUACGGGAGGCAGCAGUAGGGAAUCUUCCGCAAUGGGCGAAAGCCUGACGGAGCAACGCCGCGUGAGUGAUGAAGGUCUUCGGAUCGUAAAACUCUGUUAUUAGGGAAGAACAAAUGUGUAAGUAACUAUGCACGUCUUGACGGUACCUAAUCAGAAAGCCACGGCUAACUGCGUG